UACGUAGGUGGCAAGCGUUGUCCGGAAUUAUUGGGCGUAAAGCGCGCGCAGGUGGUUUCUUAAGUCUGAUGUGAAAGCCCACGGCUCAACCGUGGAGGGUCAUUGGAAACUGGGGAACUUGAGUGCAGGAGAGAAGAGUGGAAUUCCACGUGUAGCGGUGAAAUGCGUAGAGAUGUGGAGGAACACCAGUGGCGAAGGCGGCAUCCUGGACCGAGAUUGACGCUGAGGCGCGAAAGCCAGGGGAGCAAACGGG
rnacentral:rRNA from 1 species